AAAUUGAAGAGUUUGAUCAUGGCUCAGAUUGAACGCUGGCGGCAGGCCUAACACAUGCAAGUCGAACGGUAACAGGAAGCAGCUUGCUGCUUUGCUGACGAGUGGCGGACGGGUGAGUAAUGUCUGGGAAACUGCCUGAUGGAGGGGGAUAACUACUGGAAACGGUGGCUAAUACCGCAUAACGUCGCAAGACCAAAGAGGGGGACCUUCGGGCCUCUUGCCAUCAGAUGUGCCCAGAUGGGAUUAGCUAGUUGGUGAGGUAACGGCUCACCAAGGCGACGAUCCCUAGCUGGUCUGAG
rnacentral:rRNA from 1 species